AACGAACGCUGGCGGCAUGCCUAACACAUGCAAGUCGAACGAGACCUUCGGGUCUAGUGGCGCACGGGUGCGUAACGCGUGGGAACCUGCCCUUAGGUUCGGAAUAACUCCCCGAAAGGGGUGCUAAUACCGGAUAAUGUCUUCGGACCAAAGAUUUAUCGCCUUUGGAUGGGCCCGCGUUGGAUUAGCUAGUUGGUAGGGUAAAAGCCUACCAAGGCGACGAUCCAUAGCUGGUCUGAGAGGAUGAUCAGCCACACUGGGACUGAGACACGGCCCAGACUCCUACGGGAGGCAGCAGUGGGGAAUGUUGGACAAUGGGCGAAAGCCUGAUCCAGCAAUGCCGCGUGAGUGAUGAAGGCCUUAGGGUUGUAAAGCUCUUUUACCCGGGAUGAUAAUGACAGUACCGAGAGAAUAAGCUCCGGCUAACUCCGUG
rnacentral:rRNA from 1 species